rnacentral:rRNA from 1 species
AUACGGAGGAUGCGAGCGUUAUCCGGAUUUAUUGGGUUUAAAGGGAGCGUAGGCGGGAGCUUAAGUCAGCGGUUAAAUGGUGCGGCUCAACCGUGCCCUGCCGUUGAAACUGGGUUUCUUGAGAGUGCAAGAGGCGGAUGGAAUUCAUGGGGUAGCGGGGAAAUGCUUAGAUAUCAUGAAGAACUCCGAUUGCGAAGGCAGUCCGCUGGGGCACGUCUGACGCUGAUGCUCGAAGGUGCGGGAAUCAAACAGGAUUAGAUACCCUGGUAGUCCGCACGGUAAACGAUGAUUACCCGCUGUCGGCGGUAGACAGUCGGCGGCCAAGCGAAAGCGAUAAGUAAUCCACCUGGGGAGUACGCCGGCAACGGUGAAACUCAAAGGAAUUGGCGGGG